rnacentral:rRNA from 1 species
ACCCGCUGAACUUAAGCAUAUCAAUAAGCGGAGGAAAAGAAACCAACAGGGAUUGCCUUAGUAACGGCGAGUGAAGCGGCAACAGCUCAAAUUUGAAAUCUGGCCCUCGGGUCCGAAUUGUAAUUUGUAGAGGAUGAUUUUGGUGCGGUAUCUUCCGAGUUCCUUGGAACAGGACGCCUUAGAGGGUGAGAGCCCCGUACGGUUGAAUGCCUAGCCUCUGUAAAUCUCCUUCGACGAGUCGAGUAGUUUGGGAAUGCUGCUCUAAAUGGGAGGUAAAUUUCUUCUAAAGCUAAAUAUUGGCCAGAGACCGAUAGCGCACAAGUAGAGUGAUCGAAAGAUGAAAAGCACUUUGAAAAGAGGGUUAAAUAGCACGUGAAAUUGUUGAAAGGGAAGGAUUUGUGACCAGACUUUUUCUGGGCGGAUCAUCCGGGGUUCUCUCCGGUGCACUUUGCCCAGUAAAGGCCAGCAUCGAUUUUCGGCGGCGGAUAAAAGCAGUGGGAAUGUGGCUCCCUACGGGGAGUGUUAUAGCCCAUUGUAUAAUACGCUGCUGGGGAUCGAGGUACGCGCUUCUGCAAGGAUGCUGGCGUAAUGGUUAUCAAUCACCCGUCUUGAAACACGGACCAAGGAGUCGAACAUUUAUGCGAGUGUUUGGGUGUUAAACCCUCACGCGUAAUGAAAGUGAACGGAGGUGAGAGCCCGUACGGGUGCAUCAUCGACCGAUCCUGAAGUUUUCGGAUGGAUUUGAGUAAGAGCAUAACUGUUCGGACCCGAAAGAUGGUGAACUAUGCGUGGAUAGGGUGAAGCCAGAGGAAACUCUGGUGGAGGCUCGCAGCGGUUCUGACGUGCAAAUCGAUCGUCAAA